AUUGAACGCUGGCGGCAGGCCUAACACAUGCAAGUCGAGCGAGCGGCGGACGGGUGAGUAAUGUAUGGGGAUCUGCCCGAUAGAGGGGGAUAACUACUGGAAACGGUGGCUACUACAGCAUACCAUCAGAUGUGCCCAGAUGGGAUUAGCUAGUAGGUGGGGUAAUGGCUAACCUAGGCGACGAUCUCUAGCUGGUCUGAGAGGAUGAUCAGCCACACUGGGACUGAGACACGGCCCAGACGCCUACGGUAGGCAGCAGUGGGGAAUAUUGCACAAUGGGCGCAAACCUGAUGCAGCCAUGCCGAGUGUAUGAAGAAGGCCUUAGGGUUGUAAAGUACUUUCAGCGGGGAGGCGUUACCCGCAGAAGAAGCACCGGCUAACUCCGUGCCAGCAGCCGCGGUAAUAC
rnacentral:rRNA from 1 species